rnacentral:misc_RNA from 1 species
AACGGUCUAUACCUGCGGUACCUGCGGAGGGAUCACUAUCAAUUUACAGCGGACUUCGGUCCUGUCUGCACCCUUGUCUUUUGCGUACUAUAUGUUUCCUCGGUGGGCUUGCCUGCCGAUAGGACACUUAUAAACUCUUUUGUAAUUGCAAUCAGCGUCAGAAAACUAUAAUAGUUACAACUUUCAACAAUGGAUCUCU